AGCAGCCGCGGUAAUUCCAGCUCCAAUAGCGUAUAUUAAGGUUGUUGCAGUUAAAAAGCUCGUAGUUGAAUUUCGGGGUCAGUAGGUUGGUCGUGCCACCGGUACGUACUGGUCUCACUGAUUCCCCCUUCCUGAAGAACCGUAAUGCCAUUAAUUUGGUGUUGCGGGGAAACAGGACUGUUACUUUGAAAAAAUUAGAGUGUUUAAAGCAAGCUAACGCUUGAAUACAUUAGCAUGGAAUAAUGAAAUAGGACGAUCGAUCCUAUUUUGUUGGUUUCUAGGAUUGACGUAAUGAUUAAUAGGGAUAGUUGGGGGCAUUAGUAUUCAAUUGUCAGAGGUGAAAUUCUUGGAUUUAUUGAAGACUAACUACUGCGAAAGCAUUUGCCAAGGAUGUUUUCAUUAAUCAAGAACGAAAGUUAGGGGAUCGAAGACGAUCAGAUACCGUCGUAGUCUUAACCAUAAACUAUGCCGACUAGGGAUCGGAUGAUGUUAAUUUUAUAAUGACUCAUUCGGCGCCUUA
rnacentral:rRNA from 1 species